rnacentral:misc_RNA from 1 species
GAUGAAGAACGCAGCGAAAUGCGAUAAUUAAUGUGAAUUGCAGAAUUCAGUGAAUCAUCGAGUCUUUGAACGCACAUUGCGCCCCCUGGUAUUCCGGGGGGCAUGCCUGUCCGAGCGUCAUUGCUGCCCUCAAGCCCGGCUUGUGUGUUGGGCCUCGUCCCCCCUCCGGGGGACGGGCCCGAAAGGCAGCGGCGGCACCGUGUCCGGUCCUCGAGCGUAUGGGGCUUUGUCACCCGCUCUGUAGGCCCGGCCGGCGCCUUAGCCGACGACACAAUCUUUUUUUUCAGGUUGACCUCGGAUCAGGUAGGGAUACCCGCUGAACUUAAGCAUAUCAAUAAGCGGAGGA